AUUGAACGCUGGCGGCAGGCUUAACACAUGCAAGUCGAACGAGCGGCGGACGGGUGAGUAAUGUCUGGGAAACUGCCUGAUGGAGGGGGAUAACUACUGGAAACGGUAGCUAAUACCGCAUACCAUCAGAUGUGCCCAGCUGGGAUUUGCUAGUAGGUGGGGUAAAGGCUCACCUAGGCGACGAUCCCUAGCUGGGCUGAGAGGAUGACCAGCCACACUGGAACUGAGCAACGGUCCCGAAUCCUACGGGAGGCAGCAGUGGGGAAUAUUGCACAAGGGGCGCAAGCCUGAUGCAGCCAUGACGCGUGUAUGAAGAAGGCCUUCGGGUUGUAAAGUACUUUCAGCGAGGAGGCGGGACGCGAAGAAGAAGCACCGGCUAACUCCGUGCCAGCAGCCGCGGUAAUAG
rnacentral:rRNA from 1 species